AUCUACUAACAACCCUAUCCUAUAAAUACUCCCAAAUUUCAUAUCUCAACCGACUAAAAACUCUCCUACCAUCUCGAGGAGGGUUUUUAGUCGGUAGGCGCUCCCUCCAGGAGUGAAUCCGACACUACCUCCCUUGGAGGGUGUCUUUAGAAGAUUUCCCCUCCUCGAGGUUA
rfam:Agrilus planipennis Contig21127, whole genome shotgun sequence.